rnacentral:rRNA from 1 species
GUAGGGAAGAAGCGAAAGUGACGGUACCUGCAGAAAAAGCGCCGGCUAACUACGUGCCAGCAGCCGCGGUAAUACGUAGGGCGCAAGCGUUAUCCGGAAUUAUUGGGCGUAAAGAGCUCGUAGGCGGUUUGUCGCGUCUGCUGUGAAAUCUGGGGGCUCAACCCCCAGCCUGCAGUGGGUACGGGCAGACUAGAGUGCGGUAGGGGAGAUUGGAAUUCCUGGUGUAGCGGUGGAAUGCGCAGAUAUCAGGAGGAACACCGAUGGCGAAGGCAGAUCUCUGGGCCGUAACUGACGCUGAGGAGCGAAAGGGUGGGGAGCAAACAGGCUUAGAUACCCUGGUAGUCCACCCCGUAAACGUUGGGAACUAGUUGUGGGGUCCAUUCCACGGAUUCCGUGACGCAGCUAACGCAUUAAGUUCCCCGCCUGGGGAGUACGGCCGCAAGGCUAAAACUCAAAGGAAUUGACGGGGACCCGCACAAGCGGCGGAGCAUGCGGAUUAAUUCGAUGCAACGCGAAGAACCUUACCAAGGCUUGACAUAUACGAGAACGGGCCAGAAAUGGUCAACUCUUUGGACACUCGUAAACAGGUGGUGCAUGGUUGUCGUCAGCUCGUGUCGUGAGAUGUUGGGUUAAGUCCCGCAACGAGCGCAACCCUCGUUCUAUGUUGCCAGCACGUAAUGGUGGGAACUCAUGGGAUACUGCCGGGGUCAACUCGGAGGAAGGUGGGGAUGACGUCAAAUCAUCAUGCCCCUUAUGUCUUGGGCUUCACGCAUGCUACAAUGGCCGGUACAAAGGGCUGCAAUACCGCGAGGUGGAGCGAAUCCCAAAAAGCCGGUCCCAGUUCGGAUUGAGGUCUGCAACUCGACCUCAUGAAGUCGGAGUCGCUAGUAAUCGCAGAUCAGCAACGCUGCGGUGAAUACGUUCCCGGGUCUUGUACACACCGCCCGUCAAGUCAUGAAAGUCGGUAACACCUGAAGCCGGUGGCCUAACCCUUGUGGAGGGAGCCGUCGAAGGUGG